rnacentral:rRNA from 1 species
GAUGAACGCUGGCGGCGUGCCUAAUACAUGCAAGUCGAGCGAACGGACGAGAAGCUUGCUUCUCUGAUGUUAGCGGCGGACGGGUGAGUAACACGUGGAUAACCUACCUAUAAGACUGGGAUAACUUCGGGAAACCGGAGCUAAUACCGGAUGAUAUUUUGAACCGCAUGGUUCAAAAGUGAAAGACGGUCUUGCUGUCACUUAUAGAUGGAUCCGCGCUGCAUUAGCUAGUUGGUAAGGUAACGGCUUACCAAGGCAACGAUGCAUAGCCGACCUGAGAGAGUGAUCGGCCACACUGGAACUGAGACACGGUCCAGACUCCUACGGGAGGCAGCAGUAGGGAAUCUUCCGCAAUGGGCGAAAGCCUGACGGAGCAACGCCGCGUGAGUGAUGAAGGUCUUCGGAUCGUAAAACUCUGUUAUUAGGGAAGAACAUAUGUGUAAGUAACUGUGCACAUCUUGACGGUACCUAAUCAGAAAGCCACGGCUAACUCCGUG